GGAAAACAGGUGAGGAGUGCAAUCAGGUUAAAAAACACUAGCAGGUCUCAUGUAGCUUUCAAGUUUCAAACAACAGCACCGAAGAGCUGUUUCAUGCGUCCUCCAGGUGGCAUCCUUGCUCCAGGAGAGAGCCUCAUUGCAACUGUGUUCAAGUUUGUUGAGCAUCCAGAGAACAAUGAGAAAGUAUUAGACCAGAAAAGCAAGGUCAAGUUUAAGAUCAUGAGUUUGAAGGUGAAAGGAGGAAUAGAAUAUGCACCUGAGUUGUUUGAUGAACAGAAGGAUCAGGUAACAGUUGAGCAAAUAUUGCGGGUUGUAUUUUUGGAUGCAGAGCAUCCUAGUCCUGCAUUGGAAAAAUUGAAGCGUCAGUUAGCUGAAGCUGAGGCUGCUUUUGAAGAUCGUAAGAAACCUCCACCUGACACUGGGC
rnacentral:misc_RNA from 1 species